CGUUGAAACACCAGUUCCCGCACGAUCACCAAAGUUAAGCAACGUCGAGCCUGAUAAGUACCUACAUUGGUGACCGUUUGAGAAUACCAGGUUCG